UACGGGGGGGGCAAGCGUUGUUCGGAAUUACUGGGCGUAAAGCGCGUGUAGGCGGCUCUUCAAGUCGAGUGUGAAAGCUCCAGGCUUAACCUGGGAAUUGCGCUCGAUACUGUUGAGCUAGAGUGUGGAAGGGGCUACUGGAAUUCCGUGUGUAGCGGUGAAAUGCGUAGAUAUCGAGAGGAACACCUGCGGCGAAGGCGGGUAGCUGGGCCGACACUGACGCUGAGGCGCGAAAGCUAGGGGAGCGAACGGG
rnacentral:rRNA from 1 species